CUUAUAUACUUGAGCCAGUUUGAAUGCAGGCUCAUUUAAAUGUGAGUAGGAUUUUCUACUAUUUAUAUAUACAUAUUUGAAAAUUGGGAUACUUACCAGUACUAUAUUGCCCUAUGUGAGCUUUAUUGUUUCAGGGGCAACUGGACAAAGAUCUUCUGGUAUAUGUUCUGGUAUAUAUCUUUCUCAUUCUAAAUUUGUGUAUAAACACUGUAAUACACAUUUCUGGACUUUUAGUGCGCU